rnacentral:rRNA from 1 species
GACAGAGGAUGCAAGCGUUAUCCGGAAUGAUUGGGCGUAAAGCGUCUGUAGGUGGCUUUUUAAGUCUGCCGUCAAAUCCCAGGGCUUAACCCUGGACAGGCGGUGGAAACUACCAAGCUGGAGUACGGUAGGGGCAGGGGGAAUUUCCGGUGGAGCGGUGAAAUGCGUAGAGAUCAGAAAGAACACCAACGGCGAAAGCACUCUGCUGGGCCGACACUGACACUGAGAGACGAAAGCUAGGGGAGCGAAUGGG